rnacentral:lncRNA from 1 species
UACAUAAUCAAUGAACAAUAAUCUGCUAUUUAAUAAAACACUUAUCUACCAAGAUGUUUCCCUCAUAUGCCACAAGAAAAAUCCAUUCUAUGGUAAGUAUUUCCAUUACCAUAAAUCUAUGCCCUGCCUCUUUACCUUUGCGAUAAAUCCAAUCUAAGAUUGGUUGCAUCUGUUCUAGUUUUCUUAUUGUUUCUAACAGGGAGACUAUCCAUAUCAAAUGAAGCUGAAGAGGAACUAGAAGAGGAACUAGAACUGGAACUAGAAGAGGAAGUCUCGCUAUCUAAGCUUUUCAAGAC